UACGGGGGAGCAAGCGUUGUUCGGAUUUACUGGGCGUAAAGGGCGCGUAGGCGGUCAGUGCAAGUCAGUUGGUGAAAACUCUCCGGGCUUAACUCGGAAAGGUCAACUGAUACUGCUCGACUAGAGUGCGGAAGGGGCAACUGGAAUUCUUGGUGUAGCGGUGAAAAUGCGUAGAUAUCAAGAGGAACACCUGCGGCGAAGGCGGGUUGCUGGGCCGACACUGACGCUGAGGCGCGAAAGCUAGGGGAGCGAACGGG
rnacentral:rRNA from 1 species